rnacentral:rRNA from 1 species
UCGAGGAUCUUCGGCAAUGAGCGCAAGCUUGACCGAGCGACGCCGCGUGUGCGAUGAAGGCCUUCGGGUUGUAAAGCACUUUAGGGGGGGGAGAAAAGCCGAAAGGUGUGAUCUAUCCCCAAAAUAAGCACGGGCUAAGUUCGUGCCAGCAGCCGCGGUAAGACGAACCGUGCGAACGUUGUUCGGAAUCACUGGGCUUAAAGGGAGCGUAGGCGGGCUAUCAAGUCUGGGGUGAAAUCCCACGGCUCAACCGUGGAACUGCCUUAGAUACUGACGGCCUCGAGGGAGAUAGGGGCAUGCGGAACUGUAGGUGGAGCGGUGAAAUGCGUUGAUAUCUACAGGAACUCCGGUGGCGAAAGCGGCGUGCUGGAUCUCUUCUGACGCUGAGGCUCGAAAGCUAGGGGGAGCAAACGGGGAUUAGAUACCCCGGUAGUCCUAGGCCCUAAACGAUGGGUACUAGAUAGUAGGCUGGAUAUGGGCUUACUGUCGAAGCUAAAGUGCUAACG